GCAUAAAAAUAGAAGAAGAGAAAACUUUAUUUCCUUGAACCCUUCCCCCGUUCUUUCUCUUUCGUGAAGGUGGAUUCAUCAAUUCAUGGUUUCCGUUCUUUUUCCUCAUCUUCCUCUUUCAGUUAAAUUCAUCAAUUCAGUUUGUUAUUAAAGUGAGAAGAUGUUGCUAGAGAGUGAAUUGGUGUGAAGGGUGAAGGCUAGUCACUUUGAUUUUGUCCUAUUGUGUUAUAAUGAGUGUGUUGUGUGCCUCAAGUCUUAAAGUGUCAAGUGUGGGUGGAAGGAAGGUAAUGGCUGCCGGCUGGUAUAGUUUUUCAGUAGUGUAUAUGUAUUUGAAUAAGAAUUUUACAUAUGGCACGUCCAAUGCAUGGUAAUGGUUUAAUCAAGUAACAAGUAAAGAUAAUUAAAGAUUUAGAAGUA